CCAGGAGGAUGGGUUUUCAGAGUAAAGUAGGCCCAGGCCAGGGGUGACAGGUUGUCAUAGUAGACUACACCCAGACCAGGGGGUCAGGUUGUCAUAGUAGACUAGACACAGACCAAAGGCACAGGUUAUCAUAGUUGAUUAGACCCAGGCCGGGGGGACGGGUUGUCACAGCAGACAAGACCCAGGUCAGGUGACUGAUUGUCAUAGACGAGACCCUGCUCAAGGAUAAAUCUGUAUACGCAAAAGAAUCCCCUUCAAGAGCUGACUAGAACAGGAGAAAGCGCCCCAGCCGUGAGUGCUCGGCAUCUAAACAGAGGCUGGUGGCACAUGGACCAGGCCAUCGGAGACUGAGAUCCCACAAACAGUGAUUCUGGGAAAGUAGCCACAUUCCAAAAUCUGUGAUAUGAGGAAGUAAAGCAAUGUGAGAAUCAAGG